rnacentral:rRNA from 1 species
CAUCACUACGCUAGAUGCAUAUCAAUAAGCGGAGGAAAAGAAACUAACAAGGAUUCCCCUAGUAACGGCGAGUGAAGCGGGAAGAGCUCAAAUUUGAAAUCUUCAAGGGUUUACCUUUACGAAUUGUAGUUUAAAGAAGUGUUUUCUGUUGGAGUUUCGGUAAAAGUUCUUUGGAAUAGGACAUCAUAGAGGGUGAGAAUCCCGUAUUUGACCGUUACUUUCCAGCUGUGUGAUACACUUUCAAAGAGUCGGAUUGUUUGGGAAUGCAGUCCAAAAUGGGUGGUAAAUUUCAUCUAAAGCUAAAUAUUGGCGAGAGACCGAUAGCGAACAAGUACCGUGAGGGAAAGAUGAAAAGAACUUUGAAAAGAGAGUUAAACAGUACGUGAAAUUGUCAAGAGGGAAGCGUUUGACACCAGUGUUGUUUAGUUGAAAAUCAAUUCAAUAAUUUUUGAUUUUGAGUAGUAUUGACUUCAUCAGCUUGCUGCUUUCUUUUCAGAAAUUAUUGAAUGCACUUUUCAGUUAACAAGUCAACAUCAAUUUCUUUUGUUGUAAAAGGGUAAGAGGAAGGUGGCUUACGCUUCGGCGUAAGUGUUUAUAGCCUUUUACCUCUGCAAUCGGAGAGAUUGAGGAUCAGCAGCGUAGACUCCUUCGGGGUUAGAUACACUUGUGCUAAGCUAUAGCCUUGUAUAGACAACUUGUUGACUAUGCUCAGUCAUGUAGCUUACUCGCUUGUGCUAUUUUACCUACGCUUAGGAUGUUGACGAGACUGUCGAUCUC